GACGUAGGGCGCGAGCGUUGUCCGGAUUUAUUGGGCGUAAAGAGCUCGUAGGCGGCUUGUUGCGUCAGCUGUGAAAACCCGCAGCUCAACUGUGGGCUUGCAGCUGAUACGGGCAGGCUUGAGUUCGGUAGGGGAGACUGGAAUUCCUGGUGUAGCGGUGAAAUGCGCAGAUAUCAGGAAGAACACCCGUGGCGAAGGCGGCUCUCUGGUACGUGACUGACGCUGAGACGCGAAAGCGUGGGGAGCGAACAGG
rnacentral:rRNA from 1 species